rnacentral:lncRNA from 1 species
AUGCCUCUGAUGGUCAUGGUGCUGCUGCUCACAUUAGUGGCUCAGUGUUGGGGGACACCUCAGUGGAGGAACUGGAGCCCUCAGGCCAUCCUGUACCUGAAGGGAGCACAGGGACACCGCGUGUUGCUGCAGCGCCCCAGCAGAGAUAAAGACAGCCCCGCACAUCUGGGGAGCCUGGACCCAAACCAGGAUGGUCUCAGGCAGCCUUGGGCGCCGCUCCUGCUCAAGCUGCUGCAGGCGGCCGUGGAUGAAGGCAGAGGAAACGCAGGCGACUGUCCGGCUCGGCGAGCCCCGGCUUCCUCCCUUUAAAAUGUGCGAUUAAAACGUUUUGUGUGAAUAAAAGGUGGUUUGUGAGCGGCUGUCGCUAUGGUCCGGCUGUGCCUUUUGAUGACCGGGCGUCACGACUGUCAGCCCGGGGCGGCAAUUAAGUGGUUGACACCAGAAGUGAUAGAAAAACAAAACUGUAAACACCAUUCAUCGUCACGCUGUCGACACCCAGGGGCCGCCUGAAGCAGACAGGGCUCGGGUCAGCCUGAGGUCACAGGCAAAACCAUUCAAAGCAACAAUAUAAAGGUCUAAGCAGGGCAGAGCCACACUCAUUUGACUGGAUUUCCUUAGAAAUUCAAUUUGAACCUGUAAAAACAGAUUCAGUCUGAUAAACCAAAGUUUUUCGGUGUGAACUUCC